rnacentral:rRNA from 1 species
CUUCGGGGUGCUGACGAGUGGCGGACGGGUGAGUAAUGCUUAGGAAUCUGCCUAGUAGUGGGGGAUAACCCGGGGAAACCCGGGCUAAUACCGCAUACGCCCUACGGGGGAAAGCGGGGGACUUUCGGGCCUCGCGCUAUUAGAUGAGCCUAAGUCCGAUUAGCUAGUUGGUAGGGUAAUGGCCUACCAAGGCGACGAUCGGUAGCUGGUCUGAGAGGACGACCAGCCACACUGGGACUGAGACACGGCCCAGACUCCUACGGGAGGCAGCAGUGGGGAAUAUUGGACAAUGGGCGCAAGCCUGAUCCAGCGAUGCCGCGUGUGUGAAGAAGGCCUGCGGGUUGUAAAGCACUUUCAGUAGGGAAGAAAAGCCGAGUGCUAAUAUCACUCGGUCUUGACGUUACUUACAGAAGAAGCACCGGCUAACUCCGUGCCAGCAGCCGCGGUAAUACGGAGGGUGCGAGCGUUAAUCGGAAUUACUGGGCGUAAAGGGCGCGUAGGCGGUUUGGUAAGUCGGGUGUGAAAGCCCCGGGCUCAACCUGGGAAUUGCAUUCGAUACUGCCUGGCUAGAGUAUGGUAGAGGGAAGCGGAAUUCCGGGUGUAGCGGUGAAAUGCGUAGAUAUCCGGAGGAACACCAGUGGCGAAGGCGGCUUCCUGGACCAAUACUGACGCUGAGGCGCGAAAGCGUGGGGAUCAAACAGGAUUAGA